rfam:Gallus gallus isolate RJF #256 breed Red Jungle fowl, inbred line TCD001 chromosome 1, whole genome shotgun sequence.
CAAAAGGCUUUUAUAAAGCCAACAACAGAGAAAAAAAGAAUAUU